AUGUACAUGCUUACAACAUAACGUUAGUGCACCAGAUCCCAUUAGAACUCUAAAAUUAAGUGUGCUUGGGAUAGAGUAGUACUAGGAUGGGUGACCUCUCUGGAAGUCCUAGUGUUUUACAUG
rfam:Picea glauca, whole genome shotgun sequence.